rnacentral:rRNA from 1 species
AUUGAACGCCGGCGACAUGCCUUACACAUGCAAGUCGAACGGCAGCGGACCUUCGGGUGCCGGCGAGUGGCGAACGGGUGAGUAAUGUAUCGGAACGUACCAUUGAGUGGGGGAUAACGUAGCGAAAGUUACGCUAAUACCGCAUAUUCUCUCCGGAGGAAAGCAGGGGACCGCAAGGCCUUGCGCUCUUUGAGCGGCCGAUAUCAGAUUAGCUAGUUGGUGAGGUAAAGGCUCACCAAGGCUACGAUCUGUAGCGGGUCUGAGAGGAUGAUCCGCCACACUGGAACUGAGACACGGUCCAGACUCCUACGGGAGGCAGCAGUGGGGAAUUUUGGACAAUGGGGGCAACCCUGAUCCAGCCAUGCCGCGUGAGUGAAGAAGGCCUUCGGGUUGUAAAGCUCUUUCGGGUGAGAAGAAAGCGGAUGGGCUAAUACCCUGUUCGGAUGACGGUAUCACCAUAAGAAGCACCGGCUAACUACGUGCCAGCCGCCGCCGUAACAC